GCCCGCGUAGCUUAAACACAAAGCAUGACACUGAAGCUGUUAAGAAGAGCACUAGUAAUGCCCCGCUAGCA
rnacentral:tRNA from 2 species